rnacentral:lncRNA from 1 species
AAAGCAAUAUUCAAUAUUAAUUACAUUCCAAAGAGACAUAACUCCUGUAAAAGUAACUGAUAAGCGAUGUAAUUAUUUUUCUAAAUCACCAAGACAUUGAUAUCAGUUUUCAUAACAACCUACAAGAUUGCAUGAAUUUAGGUGUGAGAGUGCAAAAAAUGCAAUUUAAAGUGUCUGCUUGUAACUUAGUGUUAAGAAACUAAAACAACAUUUCCUUUUUUAUCCAAAUGAUU